rnacentral:rRNA from 1 species
GACGGGGGGUCCUAGCGUUGUUCGGAAAUACUGGGCGUAAAGCGCACGUAGGCGGCGCAGCAAGUCAGGGGUGAAAUCCCGGGGCUCAACCCCGGAACUGCCCUUGAAACUGCAGUGCUAGAAUUCUGGAGAGGCGAGUGGAAUUCCGAGUGUAGAGGUGAAAUUCGUAGAUAUUCGGAAGAACACCAGUGGCGAAGGCGACUCGCUGGACAGACAUUGACGCUGAGGUGCGAAAGCGUGGGGAGCAAACAGG